ACAGGUACUGUAGUGUGCGCUGCCAAAACCUUCCGGGUAAAACUCACGCUUAAGAAUUUCUGUUCCGCGUGUGCGAGUAGUCAACAUAAAUAGACUGUUUUACAUGGUUAUGUCACAGGCCGUACCAAACCAGUGUCGCACAGUGAUCUGAACUGAUCUGAACGUCCUGUACCGAAAACGGUUUGGGACGAAUACACAUACCGUUACAGUCCUAAUCAACAUACUACAAGCUCUAACUAAGGUGAGUUCACUGACCUUGCCA